rnacentral:rRNA from 1 species
AUUGAACGCUGGCGGCAUGCCUUACACAUGCAAGUCGAACGGCAGCACGGGAGCAAUCCUGGUGGCGAGUGGCGAACGGGGGAGUAAAGUAUCGGAACGUGCCCAGUAGUGGGGGAGAACGUAGCGAAAGUUACGCUAAUACCGCAUACGUUCUAUGGAUGAAAGCGGGGGAUCGCAAGCCCUCGCGCGAUUGGAGCGGCCGAUAUCCGAUUGGGUAGUAGGUGGGUUAAAGGCUCACCAAGCCGACGAUCUGUAGCUGGUCUGAGAGGACGACCAGCCACACUGGGACUGAGACACGGCCCAGACUCCUACGGGAGGCAGCAGUGGGGAAUUUUGGACAAUGGGCGAAAGCCUGAUCCAGCCAUGCCGCGUGCAGGAUGAAGGCCUUCGGGUUGUAAACUGCUUUUGUACGGAACGAAAAGGUUUGGCCUAAUAAGCUGAGCUCAUGACGGUACCGUAAGAAUAAGCACCGGCUAACUACGUGCCAGCCGCCGCAGUAA